GGGUUGUGAGGUUAAGCGACUAAGCGUACACGGUGGAUGCCCUGGCAGUCAGAGGCGAUGAAGGACGUGCUAAUCUGCGAUAAGCGCCGGUAAGGUGAUAUGAACCGUUAUAACCGGCGAUUUCCGAAUGGGGAAACCCAGUGUGACUCGUCACACUAUCAUUAACUGAAUCCAUAGGUUAAUGAGGCGAACCGGGGGAACUGAAACAUCUAAGUACCCCGAGGAAAAGAAAUCAACCGAGAUUCCCCCAGUAGCGGCGAGCGAACGGGGAGGAGCCCAGAGCCUGAAUCAGCAUGUGUGUUAGUGGAAGCGUCUGGAAAGGCGCGCGAUACAGGGUGACAGCCCCGUACACAAAAGCGCAUGUGUUGUGAGCUCGAUGAGUAGGGCGGGACACGUGGUAUCCUGUCUGAAUAUGGGGGGACCAUCCUCCAAGGCUAAAUACUCCUGACUGACCGAUAGUGAACCAGUACCGUGAGGGAAAGGCGAAAAGAACCCCGGCGAGGGGAGUGAAAAAGAACCUGAAACCGUGUACGUACAAGCAGUGGGAGCACCCUUCGG
rnacentral:rRNA from 1 species